CAGGCUGAGACGGUUCACUGGGGUCCAUGCUGGACCGUUGUCCCUGAUGUUGCAUUCAGUAAGCCCCAUGCUUUGACAGAAGGCGGAAUGGGAUGGGAAAGCUGUGAUGGGAAUGUUGGCAGCCACACAGGACUGAAGGCUGCUAUGCCCUCUGGAGCUUCGCAAAGGAUGCCAACCCUUAAAUCAGAGUUUUGAAACAGACAAACAACCCCAAAACUAAUUUUUUUCAGAGCCUGAAAGUGCCAAAGUAAAGUGUGAAAUCAUUAAGAAAUAAAGAUACUUGGAUGUAUUUGAAACUUCUGUUUCCAAAGACUUUAAAUUUGGCUUCAUUUAAUUUAGCCAUAGGGAGAUGGCUGAUAUAGAUCUGUGGGCCUAUUUUGCUCAAACACUGAAUAUAGAAAGGUGUUCAACUACAACUUGGAUGCUAAUGACUGUAAAUUUCAGCAACUCUGUCAUGUUCCCCAGUGAAAAUCUGACCUAAAAGAACUGUACAAAGCCAUACUUUCCUCUCAAAGCAUAAGGGAUUUUGCAUGGAAACAGAGACCAGGAAGUGCAGAUUUUUCAGUGUUCCUCCAAGCUCAUGUACCAGUUGCACGGCUUCAGUGGAGGGCAGUGUAGGGUCCUAGUGGACAGCCUAGCCUGGGUCUGGAGUUGGACAGAGCAAGUCUGAAUCCUGUCCUCAUCACUUUGUAGCUGUGUGUCGGGCAGUAAGGCAGGGCAACUGAAGGAGCGAAGACUGGUGAUGACAGCAAGGGAAGGAGGAACUGAUUUCAGAGAGAUGCUUGGAGAUAAAGGAACCAAUAACCAGACCUUGAAUAUGCAUAGCUCUUUACCCUUUUCAAAGUGUGUUCCCAUAAUUAACUUGUUCAAUCCUCUUGACAACUCUGUGAAGUACAUGGGGUACAUGCUAUGCCCAAUUAAAGAAAGAUGA
rnacentral:lncRNA from 1 species